CGGUGUUCAACUGGCGUGUCCGCGGGACGUCCUGCCGGUGGGCUUAGCCCGCAAGGGCGGCCCCAACUUCAAAUCCCAUCGCGGUGCUCUUCACUGAGUGUCGAGGUGGGCCGGCACGUUUACUUUGAACAAAUUAGAGUGCUUAAAGCAGGCUAAAACUUCGCCUGAAUACUGUGUGCAUGGAAUAAUGGAAUAGGACCUCGGUUCUAUUUUGUUGGUUUUCGGAACCCCGAGGUAAUGAUUAAUAGGAACGGAUGGGGGCAUUCGUAUUGCGACGUUAGAGGUGAAAUUCUUGGAUCGUCGCAAGACGGACAGAAGCGAAAGCAUUUGCCAAAAACGCUUUCAUUGAUCAAGAACGAAAGUUAGAGGUUCGAAGGCGAUCAGAUACCGCCCUAGUUCUAACCAUAAACGAUGCCAGCUAGCGAUCCGUCGACGUUCCUCCGAUGACUCGACGGGCAGCUUCCGGGAAACCAAAGCUUUUGGGUUCCGGGGGAAGUAUGGUUGCAAAGCUGAAACUUAAAGGAAUUGACGGAAGGGCACCACCCAGGAGUGGAGCCUGCGGCUUAAUUUGACUCAACACGGGAAACCUCACCAGGCCCGGACACCGGAAGGAUUGACAGAUUGAGAGCUCUUUCUUGAUUCGGUGGGUGGUGGUGCAUGGCCGUUCUUAGUUGGUGGAGCGAUUUGUCUGGUUAAUUCCGAUAACGAACGAGACUCUAGCCUGCUAACUAGGCGUAUUUUCGACAUCUCAAAGGUCCGUCGUCCCGGCCCUCGGGUCGUGGGCGUGCGCGAUUUUUACUGUCGGCGUACUAUCAAUUCUUCUUAGAGGGACAGGUGGCUUCUAGCCGCACGAGAUUGAGCAAUAACAGGUCUGUGAUG
rnacentral:rRNA from 1 species